GGGUCCGGGCUCAAGUGCAGCUGGUGGAGUCCGGAGGGGACGUGAGGAAGGCCGGAGACUCUCUGCGCCUCUCCUGCAAAACCACCGGGUUCACUUUCAGAGAUUACUGGAUGUAUUGGUACCGCCAGGCCCCCGGGCAGGGGCUGGAGUGGGUCGCUUACAUCAGCUACAAUGGGGUUACUGUACGGUACCAUGAUAGAGCGAAAGGCCGAUUCACCAUCUCCAGGGACAACUCCAACAGCCUCCUGUCCCUCCAGAUGUCCCGCCUGACGCCCGAGGACACCGCCCGCUACUACUGCGCCAGAGGCGCACAGCGAGAGGAAACCUAG